rnacentral:rRNA from 1 species
UACGUAGGGGGCAAGCGUUGUCCGGAUUUAUUGGGCGUAAAGAGCGUGUAGGCGGCCAUACAGGUCCGUUGUGAAAACUGGAGGCUUAACCUCCAGACGUCGAUGGAAACCGUGUGGCUAGAGUCCGGAAGAGGAGAGUGGAAUUCUUGGUGUAGCGGUGAAAUGCGCAGAUAUCAGGAAGAACACCCGUGGCGAAGGCGGCUCUCUGGGACGGUACUGACGCUGAGACGCGAAAGCGUGGGGAGCGAACAGG